rnacentral:rRNA from 1 species
GCAGUCGAGCGGACAGAAGGGAGCUUGCUCCCGGAUGUUAGCGGCGGACGGGUGAGUAACACGUGGGUAACCUGCCUGUAAGACUGGGAUAACUCCGGGAAACCGGAGCUAAUACCGGAUAGUUCCUUGAACCGCAUGGUUCAAGGAUGAAAGACGGUUUCGGCUGUCACUUACAGAUGGACCCGCGGCGCAUUAGCUAGUUGGUGGGGUAAUGGCUCACCAAGGCGACGAUGCGUAGCCGACCUGAGAGGGUGAUCGGCCACACUGGGACUGAGACACGGCCCAGACUCCUACGGGAGGCAGCAGUAGGGAAUCUUCCGCAAUGGACGAAAGUCUGACGGAGCAACGCCGCGUGAGUGAUGAAGGUUUUCGGAUCGUAAAGCUCUGUUGUUAGGGAAGAACAAGUGCGAGAGUAACUGCUCGCACCUUGACGGUACCUAACCAGAAAGCCACGGCUAACUACGUGCCAGCAGCCGCGGUAAUACGUAGGUGGCAAGCGUUGUCCGGAAUUAUUGGGCGUAAAGGGCUCGCAGGCGGUUUCUUAAGUCUGAUGUGAAAGCCCCCGGCUCAACCGGGGAGGGUCAUUGGAAACUGGGAAACUUGAGUGCAGAAGAGGAGAGUGGAAUUCCACGUGUAGCGGUGAAAUGCGUAGAGAUGUGGAGGAACACCAGUGGCGAAGGCGACUCUCUGGUCUGUAACUGACGCUGAGGAGCGAAAGCGUGGGGAGCGAACAGGAUUAGAUACCCUGGUAGUCCACGCCGUAAACGAUGAGUGCUAAGUGUUAGGGGGUUUCCGCCCCUUAGUGCUGCAGCUAACGCAUUAAGCACUCCGCCUGGGGAGUACGGUCGCAAGACUGAAACUCAAAGGAAUUGACGGGGGCCCGCACAAGCGGUGGAGCAUGUGGUUUAAUUCGAAGCAACGCGAAGAACCUUACCAGGUCUUGACAUCCUCUGACAACCCUAGAGAUAGGGCUUUCCCUUCGGGGACAGAGUGACAGGUGGUGCAUGGUUGUCGUCAGCUCGU